rnacentral:rRNA from 1 species
UCGCGACCCCAGGUCAGGCGGG